rnacentral:lncRNA from 1 species
AAGAAAGAGAGAAAAAUUUUAUGUCCAAACUUGGACAAAGAGAGAGAGAAGAGUCUCUAACAACCAACCUUUGGUUGUUGGUAAGAAGGGAUAGAUGCAACCAAAAUUCACGCCAUGAAGCCUCAUGCUGCACCUCUCUUCUCUUUCUUUUCUUUCAUGCAUGCCUCCUCAUCCUUUUGGCAUCCAAAGCUGAUCACCAUCAGGCUGUUACUGCCCCUCUUUUCCUAUGUUUAAAUAGGAAUAGAGUUUGAUUUUAGGUAGGAGAUAAGAAUCCAAUGAUCCUAAGACUCUUACAUCAUGAUGC